CUCCAUGUGUCCCUAUGGCUCUCUAUGGCUCUCUAUGGGUCUCUAUGGCUCUCUAUGGCUCUCUAUGGGUCCCUACGGCUCUCUAUGGGUCUCCAUGUGUCCCUACGGCUCUCUAUGGGUCUCAGUGUGUCCCAAUGGGUCUCAAUGUGUCCCUAUGGGUCUCAAUGUGUCCCUAUGGGUCUCCAUGGGUCCCUACGGCUCUCUAUGGGUCUCAGUGUGUCCCAAUGGGUCUCAAUGUGUCCCUAUGGGUUUCAGUGUGUCCCAAUGGGUCUGAAUGUAUCCCUAUGGGUCUCAGUGUGUCGCAGUGGGUCUCAAUGUGUCCCUCCGUGUCUCAGUGUGUCCCAAUGGGUCUCAAUGUAUCCCUAUGGGUCUCAGUGUGUCCCAAUGGGUCUCAGUGUGUCCCAGUGGGUCUCAAUGUGUCCCUACGUGUCCCUGUGUGUCCCUAUGGCUCUCUAUGGGUCUCUAUGGGUCCCUAUGGCUCUCUAUGGGUCUCAGUGUGUCCCAAUGGGUCUCAAUGUAUCCCUAUGGGUCUCAGUGUGUCCCAAUGGGUCUCAGUGUGUCCCAGUGGGUCUCCAUGUGUCCCUACGGCUCUCUAUGGGUCUCAGUGUGUCCCAGUGGGUCUCAAUGUGUCCCUCCGUGUCUCAGUGUGUCCCAAUGGGUCUCAGUGUAUCCCUAUGGGUCUCAUUGUGUCCCAAUGGGUCUCAAUGUAUCUCUAUGGGUCUCAGUGUGUCCCAGUGGGUCUCAAUGUGUCCCAGUGGGUCUCAAUGUGUCCCUACGUGUCCCUGUGUGUCCCUAUGGCUCUCUAUGGGUCUCUAUGGGUCCCUACAGCUCUCUAUGGGUCUCCAUGUGUCCCUACAGCUCUCUAUGGGUCUCUACGGCUCUCUAUGGGUCUCAGUGUGUCCCAGUGGGUCUCAAUGUGUCCCAAUGGGUCUCAGUGUGUCCCUAUGUGUCCCUGUGUGUCCCUAUGGCUCUCUAUGGGUCUCUAUGUGUCCCUAUGGCUCUCUAUGGGUCUCAGUGUGUCCCAAUGGGUCUCAAUGUAUCCCUAUGGGUCUCAGUGUGUCCCAAUGGGUCUCAGUGUGUCCCAGUGGGUCUCCAUGUGUCCCUAUGGCUCUCUAUGGGUCUCAGUGUGUCCCAAUGGGUCUCAGUGUGUCGCAGUGGGUCUCAAUGUGUCCCUACGUGUCCCUGUGUGUCCCUAUGGCUCUCUAUGGGUCUCUAUGGGUCCCUACAGCUCUCUAUGGGUCUCCAUGUGUCCCUACAGCUCUCUAUGGGUCUCUACGGCUCUCUAUGGGUCUCAGUGUGUCCCAAUGGGUCUCAGUGUGUCCCUAUGUGUCCCUGUGUGUCCCUAUGGCUCUCUAUGGGUCUCUAUGGGUCCCUAUGGCUCUCUAUGGGUCUCAGUGUGUCCCAAUGGGUCUCAAUGUAUCCCUAUGGGUCUCAGUGUGUCCCAAUGGCUCUCAGUGUGUCCCAGUGGGUCUCCAUGUGUCCCUACGGCUCUCUAUGGGUCUCACUGUGUCCCAGUGGGUCUCCAUGUGUCCCUAUGGCUCUCUAUGGGUCUCAGUGUGUCGCAGUGGGUCUCAGUGUGUCCCUAUGGGUCUCAGUGUGUCCCUAUGGGUCUCAGUGUGUCCCUAUGGCUCUCUAUAUGUCUCGGUGUGUCCCAGUUGGUCUCAAUGUGUCCCAAUGGGUCUCAAU
ensembl:lncRNA